rnacentral:pre_miRNA from 1 species
GCUCCCUGAGACCCUUUGAUUGUCUCGUUAAACAUAAUUCUAUAUGUUAAAUGUAAUCAGGCAGCCAAAGUGACUCAGGUGUGC